UGUUGUUAAGUUCCCUUCUUCAGUCUUCUCUUAAGCUGAAAGUCCAACGAUUUCAAGAUUCAAUUAAUUAGAGACAUGGAGAGCCAAAGUACAAGAUACCUGUACGGAGAACUUGGGAGGCAUUUUUAUAAGCUCAUUGUCAAGUGAAUGUUAAAGUCCCCAUUCACUGAGAAGCAAAGGGUGAAGAAGUGAGACCCUACAUGGCUUUUUAGUGCAUUGAUGGAGCAGAGACACGUCUAUGAACAACUGCCUAUGCAAACUGAUUACUCGGCAGUAUAAUUUAUCAGUUUGUAUGAGUAAGUGAGUGCUUCUCACUAUGGAUUUAGCUUGCACUUCAAUUUAGGUAAGUAUACUGCUGCAGCAGCCUUGAAACCAGUGCUCUCUGAUUGUACCAAUUAGUAAAUCCUGAACUUUACCACCAGAAAAAGACAUAGCUCCACAUUUAUGAAUGCCUGGCUUUUGAGAAUGAGAGUAAUUAUGUCACCAAAACUGCCAUUGAUUUUUCAGAUAGACAUCUCAAUAAUUUUGCAAGAGUAAAAGCCUUUUUCUAAAGCACAUGGGUGUUUUUUUAUGGUACGAAUAAUACAUAGGGAUGAAUACAGUGAUUUGAUAUGUGAGAACAUUUAAGGGAGGAGGUAUUUUAUUUGAACAGAAUUUAGAUGUGCUUCCGGGCUGAGUCCUUGAUUAUAAAUUUCAUGUUGGAGGGUUUUGACUGUGUGAGAACUUCUGACAUCUAAUUUUUUUGGAGGAGGGGAUUGAGAAUUUACAAAAUAAUAAAAUAGCAUAUGCUGUUGUUAAAACAGAUUGUAAUAUUAUCAUAAAAUAAUAGAUGAAAAUACAUUUAAUUUUCUAUGUUUAGUUUAAAAAUUCACAGCUGGUUUACGCUCCUCCUUA